CACAGGUUGUGAACUCGAAGAGUAGGGCGGGACACGUGGUAUCCUGUCUGAAUAUGGGGGGACCAUCCUCCAAGGCUAAAUACUCCUGACUGACCGAUAGUGAACCAGUACCGUGAGGGAAAGGCGAAAAGAACCCCGGCGAGGGGAGUGAAAAAGAACCUGAAACCGUGUACGUACAAGCAGUAGGAGCCCACUUGUUGGGUGACUGCGUACCUUUUGUAUAAUGGGUCAGCGACUUAUAUUCUGUAGCAAGGUUAACCGUAUAGGGGAGCCGCAGGGAAACCGAGUCUUAACUGGGCGUUAAGUUGCAGGGUAUAGACCCGAAACCCGGUGAUCUAGCCAUGGGCAGGUUGAAGGUUGGGUAACACUAACUGGAGGACCGAACCGACUAAUGUUGAAAAAUUAGCGGAUGACUUGUGGCUGGGGGUGAAAGGCCAAUCAAACCGGGAGAUAGCUGGUUCUCCCCGAAAGCUAUUUAGGUAGCGCCUCGUGAAUUCAUCUUCGGGGGUAGAGCACUGUUUCGGCUAGGGGGUCAUCCCGACUUACCAACCCGAUGCAAACUACGAAUACCG
rnacentral:rRNA from 1 species